ACACAUGCAAGUCGAACGAGAUUGCACCGACGGAACCUUCGGGGGAAGAUGGUGCAUGAAAGUGGCGGAUGGGUGAGUAACGCGUAAGAAACCUGCCUUUCACACCGGGAUAGCAGCUGGAAACGGCUAUUAAUACCGGAUGAUACUUUUCUGACGCAUGUUAGGAAGGUCAAAGAAUUUCGGUGAAAGAUGGUCUUGCGUCUGAUUAGCUCGUUGGUGGGGUAACGGCCUACCAAGGCGACGAUCAGUAGCCGGCCUGAGAGGGUGUACGGCCACAUUGGGACUGAGACACGGCCCAAACUCCUACGGGAGGCAGCAGUGGGGAAUUUUGCACAAUGGAGGAAACUCUGAUGCAGCGACGCCGCGUGAACGAAGAAGGUUUUCGGAUCGUAAAGUUCUGUCCUGGGUGAAGAUAAUGACGGUAACUCAGGAGGAAGCCCCGGCUAACUACGUGCCAGCAGCCGCGGUAAUACGUAGGGGGCGAGCGUUGUUCGGAAUUAUUGGGCGUAAAGGGUACGUAGGCGGCUCGUUAAGUUUGGCGUUAAAUUCCGGGGCUCAACCCCGGCAAGCGUUGAAAACUGGCGAGCUUGAGUAGUAGAGGGGACAGUGGAAUUCCUAGUGUAGCGGUGAAAUGCGUAGAGAUUAGGAAGAAUACCGGUGGCGAAGGCGACUGUCUGGAUACAUACUGACGCUGAGGUACGAAAGCGUGGGGAGCAAACAGGAUUAGAUACCCUGGUAGUCCACGCCCUAAACGAUGAGUGCUAGGUGUCGGGAGUCAAAUCUCGGUGCCGCCGUUAACACAGUAAGCACUCCGCCUGGGGG
rnacentral:rRNA from 1 species